AUCAAGAGAUCAAAAGUGCUUAUCGAAGAAUGGCUCUCAGGUACCAUCCUGAUAAGAAUCCAAACGACCCGGUUGCAGCGGAUAUGUUUGAGGAGAUUACAUUUGCUUAUGAGGUCUUGUCUGAUCCGGAGAAUCGCCGUCAAUAUGAUACUACUGGCUCUGAGGCUCCUGGUCCGGAAAAUGAAGAUCUUGAG